rnacentral:rRNA from 1 species
ACGAACGCUGGCGGCGUGCUUAACACAUGCAAGUCGAACGGGCCUUGUCCCCUUUUUUUUGGGGGUGGGGUUAGUGGCGAACGGGUGAGUAACACGUGAGUAACCUGCCCCUCACUUCUGGAUAACCGCUUGAAAGGGUGGCUAAUACGGGGUGUUCUGGCCUGCUCGCAUGGGUGGGUUUGGAAAGAUUCGACCGGUUUUGGUUGUUUUGGUGGGGGAUGGGCUCGCGGCCUAUCAGCUUGUUGGUGGGGUGAUGGCCUGCCAAGGCUUUGACGGGUAGCCGGCCUGAGAGGGUGGGCGGUCACACUGGGACUGAGACACGGCCCAGACUCCUACGGGAGGCAGCAGUGGGGAAUAUUGCACGAUGGGCGCAAGCCUGAUGCAGCGACGCCGCGUGAGGGAUGGAGGCCUUCGGGUUGUGAACCUCUUUCGCCAGUGAAGAAGGUCCUGCUCUUUGUGGUGGGGUUGACGGUAGCUGGGUUAAUGAAGCGCCGGCUAACUACGUG